CCAAUAGCGUAUAUUAAAGUUGUUGCAGUUAAAAAGCUCGUAGUUGAAUUUCGGGAUCAAUAUGUUGGUCGUGCCUUGGUACGUACUGGCGUCAUUGGUUUCUACCUUCUGAAGAACCUCGAUGUCAUUAAUUUGGUGUCUUGGGGAAUCAGGACUGUUACUUUGAAAAAAUUAGAGUGUUUAAAGCAGGCUCACGCUUGAAUACAUUAGCAUGGAAUAAUGAAAUAGGACGUUUGAUUCUAUUUUGUUGGUUUCUAGGAUCGACGUAAUGAUUAAUGGGGAUAGUUGGGGGCAUUAGUAUUCAAUUGUCAGAGGUGAAAUUCUUGGAUUUAUUGAAGACUAACUACUGCGAAAGCAUUUGCCAAGGAUGUUUUCAUUAAUCAAGAACGAAAGUUAGGGGAUCGAAGACGAUCGGAUACCGUCGUAGUCUUAACCAUAAACUAUGCCGACUAGGGAUCGGAUGAUGUUAAUUUUUUAAUGACUCAUUCGGCGCCUUAC
rnacentral:rRNA from 1 species